UACGUAGGAUGCAAGCGUUGUCCGGAAUUACUGGGCGUAAAGGGCGAGCAGGUGGCACUACAAGUCUGAUGUAAAAUCUCCCCGGCUUAACUGGGAGGGGCCAUUGGAAACUGUAGAGCUGGAGUGCAGGAGAGGCUAACGGAAUUCCCGGUGUAGUGGUGAAAUGCGUAGAUAUCGGGAGGAACACCAGUGGCGAAGGCGGUUAGCUGGCCUGUAACUGACACUGAGGCGCGAAGGCUAGGGGGAGCGAACAGG
rnacentral:rRNA from 1 species